rnacentral:rRNA from 1 species
AUGGACAAAUUUGCUAUACACAAAAGGGUACUACAUGCUGAACUGAAUGCGGGUACUGUCUUUGUAACAAUAAAGCAAAUGAUUUAUUCCAUUGUCAAGGAGGGUGGCAUUGAUCUGAAGGCUAAAGAGGAUGAAGCUCGGGCUGUGUUUAGCAAGUUAGCUUUCGGGAAGCAUAAAACAAAGAACAUGGCGCAGUACGCUGAGAAGAAGAUGGAGAUUGCAGAUCGGUUGGGUUUGGACAAAAAGGUACUUGUUUUCCUUUUUAGGUGUGACCUUUAUCAAUGUACAAACCCUUGCUCUUGCCCUUCCCUCCCGUUAUUUUCCAAAUGCGCAUCCGUACUCAUUCACCGGUCCGUUGUCACACUUCACUCACGCACUGCUGCUUAUCCACCUCAUCGGCGACCGUGUUCCACCCCACCCCCUCACCCUCCACCAUCGUCCCCAACCACACAUUUGAGGCUCAUCCCUCAACCCCUCACGAUGACCCCAACAUUAUGA